GUGCUCACCUCAGCAGCGUAUGUACAAAACCCGGAACAAUACAGAGAAAAUUAGCCUGGCACCUGCGCAAGGAUGACUUGCAAAUUUGUGAACCGUUCCAUAUAUUU
ensembl:snRNA U6 U6 spliceosomal RNA